CAGAUCUAGCUUGCUGGAUGCUGACGAGCGGCGGACGGGUGAGUAAUGCAUAGGAAUCUGCCCGAUAGUGGGGGAUAACCUGGGGAAACCCAGGCUAAUACCGCAUACGUCCUACGGGAGAAAGGGGGCUCCGGCUCCCGCUAUGGGAUGAGCCUAUGUCGGAUUAGCUAGUUGGUGAGGUAACGGCUCACCAAGGCCACGAUCCGUAGCUGGUCUGAGAGGAUGAUCAGCCACAUCGGGACUGAGACACGGCCCGAACUCCUACGGGAGGCAGCAGUGGGGAAUAUUGGACAAUGGGGGCAACCCUGAUCCAGCCAUGCCGCGUGUGUGAAGAAGGCCCUCGGGUUGUAAAGCACUUUCAGCGAGGAAGAACGCCUAGCGGUUAAUACCCGCUAGGAAAGACAUCACUCGCAGAAGAAGCACCGGCUAACUCCGUGCCAGCAGCCGCGGUAAUACGGAGGGUGCAAGCGUUAAUCGGAAUUACUGGGCGUAAAGCGCGCGUAGGUGGCUUGAUAAGCCGGUUGUGAAAGCCCCGGGCUCAACCUGGGAACGGCAUCCGGAACUGUCAAGCUAGAGUGCAGGAGAGGAAGGUAGAAUUCCCGGUGUAGCGGUGAAAUGCGUAGA
rnacentral:rRNA from 1 species